rnacentral:rRNA from 1 species
GCGGCAGGCUUACACAUGCAAGUCGAGCGGGCAUAGCAAUAUGUCAGCGGCAGACGGGUGAGUAACGCGUGGGAACGUACCUUUUGGUUCGGAACAACUGAGGGAAACUUCAGCUAAUACCGGAUAAGCCCUUACGGGGAAAGAUUUAUCGCCGAAAGAUCGGCCCGCGUCUGAUUAGCUAGUUGGUGAGGUAAUGGCUCACCAAGGCGACGAUCAGUAGCUGGUCUGAGAGGAUGAUCAGCCACAUUGGGACUGAGACACGGCCCAAACUCCUACGGGAGGCAGCAGUGGGGAAUAUUGGACAAUGGGCGCAAGCCUGAUCCAGCCAUGCCGCGUGAGUGAUGAAGGCCCUAGGGUUGUAAAGCUCUUUUGUGCGGGAAGAUAAUGACGGUACCGCAAGAAUAAGCCCCGGCUAACUUCGUGCCAGCAGCCGCGGUAAUACGAAGGGGGCUAGCGUUGCUCGGAAUCACUGGGCGUAAAGGGUGCGUAGGCGGGUCUUUAAGUCAGGGGUGAAAUCCUGGAGCUCAACUCCAGAACUGCCUUUGAUACUGAAGAUCUUGAGUUCCGGACAGGUGAAUGGAACUGCCACUGUAAAGGUGAAAUUCAUAUAUUUUCGCAAACACACCACCGCCGAAGGCGGUUCAUUGUCCC